UUACGACCAUAUCACGUUGAAACACUAAUUCCCGUGGGAUCAUCGACGUUAAGCAACGUCGAGCCGAGUCAAUACCGAGAUGGGUGGCCGCUUGUGUAUAUCAGGUACUGUAA